AGAGCGAACGCUGGCGGCAUGCUUAACACAUGCAAGUCGCACGGGCAGGGGAAACCCUGUCAGUGGCGGACGGGUGAGUAACGCGUAGGUAUCUAUCCUUGGGUGGGGGAUAACGGUUGGAAACGACUGCUAAUACCGCAUGAUAACUGAGGUUUAAAGGCGCAAGUCGCCUGGGGAGGAGCCUGCGUACGAUUAGCUUGUUGGUGGGGUAAAGGCCUACCAAGGCGACGAUCGUUAGCUGGUCUGAGAGGAUGAUCAGCCACAUUGGGACUGAGACACGGCCCAAACUCCUACGGGAGGCAGCAGUGGGGAAUAUUGGACAAUGGGCGAAAGCCUGAUCCAGCAAUGCCGCGUGUGUGAAGAGGUCUUCGGAUUGUAAAGCACUUUCGACAGGGACGAUGAUGACGGUACCUGUAGAAGAAGCCCCGGACUAACUUCGUGCCAGCAGCCGC
rnacentral:rRNA from 1 species